rnacentral:rRNA from 1 species
AUUGAACGCUGGCGGCAGGCCUAACACAUGCAAGUCGAGCGGAGCGGCCGACGGGUGAGUAAUUAAUAGGAAUCUGCCUGGUCGUGGGGGCUAACGUACGGAAACGAGCGCUAAUACAGCAUACUAUCAGAUGAGUGUAGGUCGGAUUAGCUAGGUGGUGGGUUAAAGGCGUACCAAGGCGACGAUCCGUCACUGGUCUGAGAGGAUGAUCAGUCACACUGGAACUGAGACACGGCCCAGACUCCUACGGGAGGCAGCAGUGGGGAAUAUUGGACAAUGGGCGAAAGCCUGAUCCAGCCAUGCCGCGUGUGUGAAGAAGGUCUUCGGAUUGUAAAGCACUUUAAGUUGGGAGGCGUUACCAACAGAAGAAGCACCGGCUAACUUCGUGCCAGCCGCCGCGGUAAUUC